ACUCCUACGGGAGGCAGCAGUGGGGAAUAUUGCACAAUGGGCGCAAGCCUGAUGCAGCCAUGCCGCGUGUGUGAAGAAGGCCUUCGGGUUGAUAAAGCACUUUCAGUCGGUGAGGAAGGUAGUGUAGUUAAUAGCUGCUAUUAUUUGACGUUAGCGACAGAAGAAGCACCGGCUAACUCCGUGCCAGCACCGCGGUAAUACGGAGGGUGCGAGCGUUAAUCGGAAUUACUGGGCGUAAAGCGCAUGCAGGUGGUUUGUUAAGUCAGAUGUGAAAGCCCGGGGCUCAACCUCGGAA
rnacentral:rRNA from 1 species